AGGACAGCCAAAAUCCAAGCUUGUGAGGAGGAGCCCAGCACACAGGAAACAGCUUGCUAGCCCACUCACUCAUAGCGUCUUACCAUCCAGCAGGGAGGGAGCAGCCCUGUAAGAAGCCCCAGCUCACCAAAAAGGACGGCAGGAACCCUGAGAGCAGCAGAAUUUAAUGACAACAUGAGGUGUGGACCAGCCUCGACAGCCCCUUUAAGGAAAUGGAGACAAAAAUAAAAUCCAAGGAGAUCUCGGGCAGGUUCUGUUGGCACCUCCAAAGAAAAGAUGAGGUUACAUGUGUAUGCAGGACUUUUUGAUCUUCCUAUAAUGCAUCCAUACACACAAUAUUAAGGCACCACCUUGGAGACUACAGAAUCUAGAGCAUAAAGGAAAUCCAGAUUUAUAGGAAUUCCCCCCAAAAUGGAGGCUCUGAUCCACAAAAGACAAGGUGAAAUCUCACCUAAGGGCAGAGGAAAACUUCACAAAACAAAAGAAACUGUGAUUGACCCAGUGAGACCAACAGAGGGCCCAGCUGCCUACCAGGGGAUGGCCACAUCCAGUUAUCUUUCCAGCUCAGGAAAACUAUUCUAGUGAAGGUGAAGCAUCUAGAUUGCAAGAAAGAGCAAAGCUAAAAUUCAGGCCCUUCCCAAAAAGAGAGUGUCCUAAUUAGUAGGAUUAUGAACAUGAAAGCCAACAACUGAUGUGUUCAUUAUAAUAACCAAAUUUAGCACCCAAAGUCCAGAAACUGUAUCUCCCACCCUUCACUGGAAGAUAUAGUUAUGGAGCAUUGCAUACUGUAUGUAUACAAUCAGACAAUGCCAACAAGUUGUUUGCUUUUUCCCUUUCAUUUUUAAUCUCUGUUACAAGAAAUGACUUUCAGGGGACAAAUAUUUAGAAAUAAAUGUACCAUCAGUUAAAAAAUAAAGAGAAAGAAUCCAACAGGUGGACCUAAAUAAAACUUGAAGGAGUAGGUGGCUAGGGAGUACAAUGGAUAAAGUACUACGCCCAAAGUCAGAAAGUCUUUUCCCAAAUUCAAAUCUGGCCUCAGACACUUACUAGCUAGGUGGUGAUCCUGGGCAAAUUAUUAACCCUGCAGUAAUGGGCUGAAACUCUUAAAGCAUUCAUUGCAUUAAGGCCCCAAGCACUUGACGUUGAUUAGCAAUUGGACAAUACUCUAUUAAUAUAUGCUUGGAGAAAGAAUGGCCCCGCCUACUCUCUGUGCAAGUUGGGUGUGUUGUAUAGGAGAUUGCAGAAGAUUUGGUGGAUGGAGCGAGAGAGGCAGGGGCAUUGGUGGCUGGGUUUUGUCGCGACUGCUCUCACUUCGUAUCACCAUUCCCUUUCACCUCUGCAAAGAAUAAAGAUCAAGGAUUUUCCUUUA